AUAAUCAUGGAGUAUAAUAAUUAAAUUUAAUAAAUUUAAUAUAACUAUUAAUAGAAUUAGGUUACUAAUAAAUUAAUAACAAUUAAUUUUAAAACCUAAAGGUAAACCUUUAUAUUAAUAAUGUUUUUUUUUAUUAUUUUUAUAAUAAGAAUAAUUAUUAAUAAUAAUAAACUAAGUGAACUGAAACAUCUAAGUAACUUAAGGAUAAGAAAUCAACAGAGAUAUUAUGAGUAUUGGUGAGAGAAAAUAAUAAAGGUCUAAUAAGUAUUAUGUGAAAAAAAUGUAAGAAAAUAGGAUAACAAAUUCUAAGACUAAAUACUAUUAAUAAGUAUAGUAAGUACCGUAAGGGAAAGUAUGAAAAUGAUUAUUUUAUAAGCAAUCAUGAAUAUAUUAUAUUAUAUUAAUGAUGUACCUUUUGUAUAAUGGGUCAGCAAGUAAUUAAUAUUAGUAAAACAAUAAGUUAUAAAUAAAUAGAAUAAUAUAUAUAUAUAUAAAAAUAUAUUAAAAUAUUUAAUUAAUAUUAAUUGACCCGAAAGCAAACGAUCUAACUAUGAUAAGAUGGAUAAACGAUCGAACAGGUUGAUGUUGCAAUAUCAUCUGAUUAAUUGUGGUUAGUAGUGAAAGACAAAUCUGGUUUGCAGAUAGCUGGUUUUCUAUGAAAUAUAUGUAAGUAUAGCCUUUAUAAAUAAUAAUUAUUAUAUAAUAUUAUAUUAAUAUUAUAUAAAGAAUGGUACAGCAAUUAAUAUAUAUUAGGGAACUAUUAAAGUUUUAUUAAUAAUAUUAAAUCUCGAAAUAUUUAAUUAUAUAUAAUAAAGAGUCAGAUUAUGUGCGAUAAGGUAAAUAAUCUAAAGGGAAACAGCCCAGAUUAAGAUAUAAAGUUCCUAAUAAAUAAUAAGUGAAAUAAAUAUUAAAAUAUUAUAAUAUAAUCAGUUAAUGGGUUUGACAAUAACCAUUUUUUAAUGAACAUGUAACAAUGCACUGAUUUAUAAUAAAUAAAAAAAAUAAUAUUUAAAAUCAAAUAUAUAUAUAUUUGUUAAUAGAUAAUAUACGGAUCUUAAUAAUAAGAAUUAUUUAAUUCCUAAUAUGGAAUAUUAUAUUUUUAUAAUAAAAAUAUAAAUACUGAAUAUCUAAAUAUUAUUAUUACUUUUUUUUUUAAUAAUAAUAAUAUGGUAAUAGAACAUUUAAUGAUAAUAUAUAUUAGUUAUUAAUUAAUAUAUGUAUUAAUUAAAUAGAGAAUGCUGACAUGAGUAACGAAAAAAAGGUAUAAACCUUUUCACCUAAAACAUAAGGUUUAACUAUAAAAGUACGGCCCCUAAUUAAAUUAAUAAGAAUAUAAAUAUAUUUAAGAUGGGAUAAUCUAUAUUAAUAAAAAUUUAUCUUAAAAUAUAUAUAUUAUUAAUAAUUAUAUUAAUAAUAUAUAUAAUUAUAUUAUAUAUUUUUUUUAUAUAAUAUAAACUAAUAAAGAUCAGGAAAUAAUUAAUGUAUACCGUAAUGUAGACCGACUCAGGUAUGUAAGUAGAGAAUAUGAAGGUGAAUUAGAUAAUUAAAGGGAAGGAACUCGGCAAAGAUAGCUCAUAAGUUAGUCAAUAAAGAGUAAUAAGAACAAAGUUGUACAACUGUUUACUAAAAACACCGCACUUUGCAGAAACGAUAAGUUUAAGUAUAAGGUGUGAACUCUGCUCCAUGCUUAAUAUAUAAAUAAAAUUAUUUAACGAUAAUUUUAUUAAAUUUAGGUAAAUAGCAGCCUUAUUAUGAGGGUUAUAAUGUAGCGAAAUUCCUUGGCCUAUAAUUGAGGUCCCGCAUGAAUGACGUAAUGAUACAACAACUGUCUCCCCUUUAAGCUAAGUGAAAUUGAAAUCGUAGUGAAGAUGCUAUGUACCUUCAGCAAGACGGAAAGACCCUAUGCAGCUUUACUGUAAUUAGAUAGAUCGAAUUAUUGUUUAUUAUAUUCAGCAUAUUAAGUAAUCCUAUUAUUAGGUAAUCGUUUAGAUAUUAAUGAGAUACUUAUUAUAAUAUAAUGAUAAUUCUAAUCUUAUAAAUAAUUAUUAUUAUUAUUAUUAAUAAUAAUAAUAUGCUUUCAAGCAUAGUGAUAAAACAUAUUUAUAUGAUAAUCACUUUACUUAAUAGAUAUAAUUCUUAAGUAAUAUAUAAUAUAUAUUAUAUAUAUAUUAUAUAUAAUAUAAGAGACAAUCUCUAAUUGGUAGUUUUGAUGGGGCGUCAUUAUCAGCAAAAGUAUCUGAAUAAGUCCAUAAAUAAAUAUAUAAAAUUAUUGAAUAAAAAAAAAUAAUAUAUAUUAUAUAUAUUAAUUAUAAAUUGAAAUAUGUUUAUAUAAAUUUAUAUUUAUUGAAUAUAUUUUAGUAAUAGAUAAAAAUAUGUACAGUAAAAUUGUAAGGAAAACAAUAAUAACUUUCCUCAAAAAAUAAUUAUGGAAAGAAUUAAAUUAAUAUAAUGGUAUAACUGUGCGAUAAUUGUAACACAAACGAGUGAAACAAGUACGUAAGUAUGGCAUAAUGAACAAAUAACACUGAUUGUAAAGGUUAUUGAUAACGAAUAAAAGUUACGCUAGGGAUAACAGGGUAAUAUAACGAAAGAGUAGAUAUUGUAAGUUAUGUUUGCCACCUCGAUGUCGACUCAACAUUUCCUCUUGGUUGUAAAAGCUAAGAAGGGUUUGACUGUUCGUCAAUUAAAAUGUUACGUGAGUUGGGUUAAAUACGAUGUGAAUCAGUAUGGUUCCUAUCUGCUGAAGGAAAUAUUAUCAAAUUAAAUCUCAUUAUUAGUACGCAAGGACCAUAAUGAAUCAACCCAUGGUGUAUCUAUUGAUAAUAAUAUAAUAUAUUUAAUAAAAAUAAUACUUUAUUAAUAUAUUAUCUAUAUUAGUUUAUAUUUUAAUUAUAUAUUAUCAUAGUAGAUAAGCUAAGUUGAUAAUAAAUAAAUAUUGAAUACAUAUUAAAUAUGAAGUUGUUUUAAUAAGAUAAUUAAUCUGAUAAUUUUAUACUAAAAUUAAUAAUUAUAGGUUUUAUAUAUUAUUUAUAAAUAAAUAUAUUAUAAUAAUAAUAAUUAUUAUUAUUAAUAAAAAAUAU
rnacentral:rRNA from 1 species